CUUGGUCAUUUAGAGGAAGUAAAAGUCGUAACAAGGUUUCCGUAGGUGAACCUGCGGAAGGAUCAUUACAGAGAAUAUCGCCCUCACGGGUGACUCUCCUACCCAAUGUUAUUCUAUCUUUGUUGCUUUGGCGAGCCGCCUUGGCCACCGGCUCACGCUGGUGAGUGCUCGCCAGAGGACCCAAAACUCUGAAUUAAAGUAUUGUCUGAGUACUAUAUAAUAGUUAAAACUUUCAACAACGGAUCUCUUGGUUCUGGCAUCGAUGAAGAACGCAGCGAAAUGCGAUAAGUAAUGUGAAUUGCAGAAUUCAGUGAAUCAUCGAAUCUUUGAAACGCACAUUGCGCCCUGUGGUAUUCCGCAGGGCAUGCCUGUUCGAGCGUCAGUACAACACUCAAGCUUAGCUUGGUCUUGGGCCUAGCCGGUCACGGCGGGCUUUAAAAUUAGUGGCGGUGCCACCUGGCUCUAAGCGUAGUAAUACUCCUCGCUAUUGAGUCCUGGUGGACGCUGGCCAGCAACCCCCAACUUUCUAAGUUUGACCUCGGAUCAGGUAGGGAUACCCGCUGAACUUAAGCAUAUCAAUAAGCGGAGGAAAAGAAACCAACAGGGAUUGCCUCAGUAACGGCGAGUGAAGCGGCAACAGCUCAAAUUUGAAAUCUGGCCCUCUCAGGGUCCGAGUUGUAAUUUGUAGAAGAUGCUUCGGGUGUGGCUCCGGUCUAAGUUCCUUGGAACAGGACGUCAUAGAGGGUGAGAAUCCCGUAUGUGACUGGUUGCCUUCGCCCGUGUGAAGCUCUUUCGACGAGUCGAGUUGUUUGGGAAUGCAGCUCAAAAUGGGUGGUAAAUUUCAUCUAAAGCUAAAUAUUGGCCAGAGACCGAUAGCGCACAAGUAGAGUGAUCGAAAGAUGAAAAGCACUUUGGAAAGAGAGUUAAACAGUACGUGAAAUUGUUGAAAGGGAAGCGCUUGCAACCAGACUUGCACACUGUUGAUCAUCCGGGGUUCUCCCCGGUGCACUCAGCAGCGUUCAGGCCAGCAUCGGUUUGGGUGGUUGGAUAAAGGCCUUGGGAAUGUAGCUUCUUUCGGGGAGUGUUAUAGCCCUCGGUGCAAUGCAUCCUACCCGGACCGAGGACCGCGCUUCGGCUAGGAUGCUGGCGUAAUGGUUGUAAGCGACCCGUCUUGAAACACGGACC
rnacentral:rRNA from 1 species